rnacentral:rRNA from 1 species
AAUUGAAGAGUUUGAUCAUGGCUCAGAUUGAACGCUGGCGGCAGGCCUAACACAUGCAAGUCGAACGGUAACAGGAAGCAGCUUGCUGCUUCGCUGACGAGUGGCGGACGGGUGAGUAAUGUCUGGGAAACUGCCUGAUGGAGGGGGAUAACUACUGGAAACGGUGGCUAAUACCGCAUAACGUCGCAAGACCAAAGAGGGGGACCUUCGGGCCUCUUGCCAUCAGAUGUGCCCAGAUGGGAUUAGCUUGUUGGUGAGGUAACGGCUCACCAAGGCGACGAUCCCUAGCUGGUCUGAGAGGAUGACCAGCCACACUGGAACUGAGACACGGUCCAGACUCCUACGGG